GGACUUGCUUCCUGGUGUUGGAGGAGAGAGGAGCUUGUUCAGCCCAGUCUGGAGUGGCAUGAUCUUCUUGGUUCAGCCCGAAGAUUCAGGCCCAUUCAUCUCUGAAGGACCUAAUCAGCAGUAUUGCCACACACAGACUCAUCACCUUGGGCCAUAAAUGGUAUUUGGGAAGAAAUGCCAUUAUUUAAAAUAGGCAACCCAGCUCCACCAUCCUUUUACCUGAGUGAUUAUGCUUCACGUCACUGAAAAGACAGUCCAGCCAACUCUCCUUUCUUCCUAAUCUUAGACCACAUGGACAUUUAUUUUUUUUAUUAAUUAAUUAAUUGAAUUAACUAAUUAAAAGUAUUUUUCCAUGGUUCAUGUUCUUUCCCUUCCCUUCUCUCUCUUCCCCUCCUUUAGCCAACAAAUAAUUCCACUGGGCU
rnacentral:lncRNA from 1 species